UAUUUCAUCAUCUGUCCUCUCUUACUCAAAUAACACAGAAGAAACCAGUUUAGUAAUCGACUCCUUUUUCUACCACGAGGAAUUCAUGCGAUUCAGCGCAAUCAGCGAUUUCGCUGCAACAGCAAAGCAUUUGCUGAAAACGCACUAUCUUGCGCCAACAAUCAACUACAAUUUUUCCAAGAACAAAUUCACUCAGCAGCAACGAAACGAGUUUUUGCUCUAAGGACAAGUAAACAGUCAUGUGCAUUAAUUCGCGCCGCGAGAGGAGAAACGCUGCUCCCCCACUCUCCGGGGCCGUCAUUCCCCGCCAGUUGUCGGAGGUCUAACGCAAAAUAACGUUAAAAGAAGAAACAAGUUGGAACUAAAAUCUGACAAAAAGCAAAUUAUCUUGGGGAACAUCCGCGGACCAACGUUUUCCCAACGAUUUAUUAUUGCAUAUCUUUCUCAAUGGAAUACGAUGUGGCUACUUCGGUCAACACUGGAAACGAGCGUUUGAAGCAAUAUCUUCAUUUCGACACGAUGCCCGAACAAAAUUGACAGGGGAAAACGCGCGAAACAUGCAUUAUUCCCGUUGAGUCGGGGACUAAAAUGAAAUUAAUAAAACUCCGGUCAUUCGGCGCACGAAAAUUCCCGGGCGUCCGAUGUGAAUAGCGCGAGAAACGCGCGUGCGCCGUCCUGAUAAACCACGUUUCAGCCAUUUGCGUUCGCACGCCGCGAAUAUAAGGCAAAUUGUUAGAAGGGCGACGGAGACGCUAUCGAAGGAGAAAUGUCGCCGCGACGAAAUGACGACGACGAAAUAUCCGCAACUUCUAACCAUCGGGCGAAACUUGCGCGCGCGCGACGUAUAAAGCUUCCCUCCUUCCUCCUCCCUUCCUCCCCUCCCCUCCCCUCCC